rnacentral:lncRNA from 1 species
GUAACACCGUCUUUGUACCAGACAUUUUUUUUUUUCUGAGACAGGGUUUCUCUGUGUAGCCCUGGCUGUCCUGGAACUCACUCUUUAGACCAGGCUGGCCUCAAACUCAAAUCUGCCUGCCUCUGCCUCCACCUCCCAAGUGCUAGGAUUAAGGACAUGUGUCACCACUGCCUGGCCGGGGAACCUUUUUGGAUCUUGACAGUGUAGGUUUUUUUUUUUCUUUUCUUUUUUUUUUUUUUAAGGCUUAUUAUUAUUUUAUGUGUGAGAGAGUUUGCUUAUACAUAUAUAUGUUCACAAUCUAUGUGCCUGGAGCGAGAGGAGGGCAGAAGGUGUCAGAUUUUCAGGAACUGGAGUUAAAGGGAGUUGUGGGACACUAUAAGGGCUCUUGGAACAGAACCUGGGUCCUUUUCAGUAGCACAAGUGCUUUAAACAGACGGGGUAGGGUUUUUGUUUUUUUUUUUUUUUUCUUGUUUCUAUGGUUUGUUUGAGUCGCGAUCUUGCUACAUUGUCGUCUUAGUUUCUUUUCAUGUUUUUAUGAUAAAAUGCCGUGACAAAAUUACUUGAAGGGAAAAAAAGGUUUAUUCUGGCUCACACUGCAGGGGUACAGCUCAUGGUGGGAAGUGAAGAAUGCAGAGAUCUAAAAACCUGA